rnacentral:rRNA from 1 species
UACGUAGGGUGCAAGCGUUGUCCGGAAUUAUUGGGCGUAAAGAGCUCGUAGGCGGUUUGUCGCGUCGAAUGUGAAAACCCGGGGCUCAACUCCGGGCCUGCAUUCGAUACGGGCAGACUAGAGUUCGGUAGGGGGAGUCUGGAAUUCCUGGUGUAGCGGUGAAAUGCGCAGAGAUCGGGAGGAACACCCGUAGCGAAGGCGGCACUCUGGGCCGUGACUGACGCUGAGGAGCGAAAGCGUGGGGAGCAAACAGG